UCCCGUUUAACACGGGCAGUCUCUCUAGAGUGCUCAACUGAAUGGUAGCAACUAGAGGCAAGGGUUGCGCUCGUUGCGGGACUUAACCCAACAUCUCACGACACGAGCUGACGACAGCCAUGCAGCACCUGAACCAGAGGUCCCCGAAGGGAAGACCUUAUUUCUAAGGCUGUCCUCUGUUGUCUAGCCCGGGUAAGGUUCUUCGCGUUGCGUCGAAUUGAACCACAUGCUCCACCGCUUGUGCGGGCCCCCGUCAAUUUCUUUGAGUUUUAGCCUUGCGGCCGUAGUCCCUAGGCGGAGUACUUAUCGCGUUAGCUGCGGCACCGAGGGGGUCGAUACCCCCGACACCUAGUACUCAUCGUUUACAGCGUGGACUAC
rnacentral:misc_RNA from 1 species